CUAUCUGAUGUAUAAAUGUGUUUACUAGCCUCCUGGAACUAGUAAUUGUAUCACAUUUGAGUCCCAGAGGAUUGCGGCGCUUCAGUUACCGCUUUAUUCUCAACGUUACAGUUUGAGGAGCAUUAAAAUAAGGAAGGAAAUAUAUUCUUUUGAGACAUUGGCGUAACUUUGUAGUGGUCUUUCCUGUAUGAUAGAAGGACCAUAUUCUUGUGCUCUUGGCGGUGGUUAAUGGCGGCGGGAGGACAUACAGAGGACAUAAAUCAACCAGGUACGUCUACUAGCAUGGGUAUCGUAGCUGUACCUGAUGCUGUGACCGGAGACGCAGACGGUGUAGCUGUUACUCCAUCGGCGGCGUUGAGGGCACCUGGAAAUAUUGAUGACAACACAAGAUCGGCAGAGAUGGUAGGAGCAGAUCAACACAUCCCCAUGAGACAUAUUGGGGCGCAUGAUUAAAACACACCUCACAUUCUACAAAGUCAUGAAAGUAGGAUUCCGCAACAUUGCAUUAUGGAUUUUGUUUCGAAAAUGCAUGGUGGUCCAGAAAACGUUCCAAUAACCGCGCAGGACAUGAGUAACCUGAGACGAGACAGUCGAUGCAUUCGAGUGGGUCUUCAAUAUGUUCAAAACAUGCAUGGGAUGUGACGGACCACGAGUAAUGUUGACAGAUCAAGACUCUGCGAUGCCAAUCGCACUAGGCAGGGUCUUCCCAAACACAAUAUAUCGGUUGUAUUUGUGGCAUGUGCAAAACAUGUAUAUGCCCACUUGAAUGAAUUGUAUGCAAGAUUUGAGGAAGUGGAUUUCAAAACAAGGUUCCAGUCUAUAAUACAUCAUCCAUUGAAUAAAAUGGUGUUCGAGGUCGCCUGGCAAGUGAUGCUAAAUGAUUUCCAGCUACACGAGAACAACACCUUGUCAGAUUGUAUGAAAUAUGUAAAGACUGGGUACCUGCAUUUUUCAAAGGAGACUAUUGUGGUCAUAUGGUCUGUACAUAACGUAGCGAAAGCAUGAACAAGCUAGUGAAGAGUGCCCAUGUGGAUGCAAACACACCGCUUCAUCAAUUUGCAAAGCAAAUGAUGAAGCUUCUGCAUAGUAGGAAGAUGAAAGAGGCCAAAGAGGCACUAGGAUGCAUGGGUCAAAAGGAUACAACUACAUUGGAACAGAACAACGAUAUGCUUCUGGUUAGGGCUGGAAAAUAAGCUCAAGGCUCGCGAGCUGGCUCGAGCUCGGAGCGGCUCGCGAGCCUCGAGCGAGCCGAGCUGAGCCAUCUUUUUGGGCUCAUUGCCGUAGCGAGCCGAGCCGAGCCGAGCCAACUCGUUCCGGCUCGCGAGCUAUGACAAAUUACUUUAUAUGUAGAAUAAUGAUGGAUAUUGGCUAAUUUUAUAGAUACUCUGUUUGUUCCUUAGCGUGUCAUUAUAUAUAUGACAAUUAAUAAUUUAGAUUACUCAUUAUGAUGAAUGAUAUCUAUAUAUUUCAUAUUUAUAUACUAAUAAUUCACUAUAUAAUGGAAUUAUAUAUAUCAGGGUGUGGCUCGCGAGCCGAGCCGUCUCGCGAGCCACUUUCAAGCCGAGUCGAGUCUGCCUCCCCAGCUCGUGAAAUGUACGAGCCGAGUCGAGCUCGAUCAACCACUGAGCUGCACCGAGUCGAGCCAAGAUCGGCUCGUUUCCUGCCCUACAUCUGGUUGCUAGUAGUGCUCCGGAUGUGGAAGCUAGAAAGAAACUGAAGUUUCAUAUGGAAGGUGUAAACUUAGCAAGACCAGAUAAGGCCAAGCCUAAGGGACGAACGAUCAAAAGUAGCGAGCAACAAGUUCUUAGGUUGGGUGUGAAAGGAGCAAAGAAGAUGAGCAGAAAGUGCCAAAAGUGUGGCAUCGCUGAUGGUCACAACAGUCGUACGUGUUUAACUGUGGAGGAUAAUAGGAUUCGAUUGGCUAACCUAGCUGGACGCAAGAGAGGACGACCUUCUGGUUCAAGGAACAAAAUUGGAGGUGCAACACCAAAGUGGAAUGAGACAUCAACGUCAAAAAACGAACAGUGUAUGUCGAAGAUGAUGAUUCAUCUGGUAGAGAGUAGAAUACCAAAAGAAUUAUGAGAUCAUGGGUUGUUUUUGUGGUAACUACUGUUGCAAAUGGAUAAACGACAUACCUUAUACUUACAAUAUAUGUUAAAAGUAUAUUUGGAUGCAACUGUGAAUCAUGUGUUAUAUUUGCAAACCACAUACAAACAUCAUAAAUAUAUACUGAUAAUAUCAUAAAUUUAUGUGAAAGAUAUCAUAAACAUUAUACACAUAUCAAGAAUUUAGAAAUCUACAAAGUAACAUUGUUUGCGCACUAUGGGUCAAAAAAUAAGCAUAACACGGUGCUGUUUAUAGCAUACACUUGUGACAAAAGAAGCAUAAUCAAAUAAAGAAAACACACAUGAAAAUAAAAACAUAGGAAACAUUGCAGUUUAGACAUUACUGUUCCAAGGUUGUCAUUUACAUAGCAUAUAAAACAUCAACAUCGACACCUGAUUGUUCUACCGUCAUUACCAUAGUAUACACACAUAACUCCAGAUGAAGUGUAUGGAAAUAUUGUAUACAUAAUAUCUAACACAACUAAACUAGACUACAUCCGUGAGAACUUGAAUCUUUGGAUGUCUGCAAGGAGCGAGAUGGCUUUGUUCUUGCGAUGGAAUGUGAUGUAUUACAGUGCAAGAGACCGUAGAUCCCUGGUGUUGUCCUACAAGCCAAUAAAAUUGUGUUAGCUAGACAUAAGUACCGUAUACUGACUUGGGGCCAAUUAUAAAACGAAAUGAUAAAUUUGUACGUACUGGUUGUAUGUAUGACUUGUCAGGUCCUUCGAUGCAGUCAUAAUAGUGAAUAUAUCUCAUAACAUAGAACCCACAAUCAUUGGCGCCUGCUUCCAUGGUCAAUUGCAAAGUUGCCAAAUUUUGGAAAGCAUGACCUAGGGCGGACAUGUUGCAGGGCUUUGUUUAGCCUACUCAUUAUAACCUUAGACCAUGGUAACUUCCUACCACCUAAGUCCAUUUUGGCAAAAUGGUAAUCCUUCCAAGUAGUACCAUCAAGUUUUGGCCUGUAGGGAUUAGAAUCUAAAAUGUGAAUGUACCGUUUGACUGUAUUGACAAAAUACAAUGUCCAGUGCCCCUUACUUAGCAUGGGAAUCAUGAUCUGAUCGUGUAAAAAACAUGAAGAUUAACAAUAACAUAUAUGGUUAUGCAUUAAGAUGUGAAAUGCACCAUUUAACGUAAAUCAUGUUUGCAAAUUGUAAAACGGUUGUUACCGAUUUGCAUUUAUCCAAUUUGUCUGUCUCGGGCAAUAAAUUGUCGAGAAAUGUGUGUAGGAUAGUUUCAUCAAACGGCUGUGGAUUUCUGUUGUGCUGUUCCCGUUCCUCGAUGUUCAGUAGGGACUGCAAUAAAAAAAUUAAUGAAGUCAGUUUAUUUGGGAUACCAUUGUGUAUAUGAAUAUGGUAUAGAUAUGUUACGAUAGUUUACCCCAACGUUAACGUCAAGAAUUAAUCUGUUGGAACUCAUGGAAGGCUGAUGAUUUAUGGCAUCAUCGUCAACACAUUGAAUGAAGCACUGCAUGAACACAUUAUCGAGGCACUUCCCGUCGGCGAAAGAUUCAUAUAUAUCAGAACAUGUAGCACAAUUUUCAUCAUAGUCUAUUAUGUUCCUGUGGACAUUUUGAUAACAAUUAGUGAGUAAAUGACUAUUUGAGUAGCAGUAUAUCCACAAUGGUGAAUUGAGUGAACUUUAUACCUGCUGUUGUCAAAUCGCGUACCACACAAGUAGUCAUGGAGAGCUCACACACAUUGAAUCUCUGAAUCAUGUGAGUCAUGGUCAACCUGGGAAGUGUUUAUGUCUGGUUCGGUUUCAAUAGAAACCUAAAAAAGGUUAUAUGUUAGAUAGAUUUGCAGCUUUGUAUAAUUUUGGCAAUUAUAAUGAAAAUAUAUAUUAAUGUACUGAUAUAUUCAGAUGGAGUCUGGUCAAAACAUGGGCCACUGUCGGGGAGAUCUGAUUUUGCCGCCGACUAGACACUUCCUGGACACUGUAAAAAUUAUGGUAGUUAUGGAUUAGUUGUUUAGUACACUACUUAUUAUAUAAAAAUACUGCGAGUGGGAAUAAUCAUACAUUUAUUUGCGGCGUCGUAUCAAAUAUCGGCGAGCAAGAUUCCAUGUGGAAUGUUGAUUGUGCAUUAUGGUGUUACUUGAGGAGUGAUGUUUUGUUGCUCGACGUGUUCUUGCCAAUAUCACCGUGUUGACCAUGACGACAAUGUAAUGAGUUAUAUGCUAAUUAGAAAAAACAUUGAAUAUAAACCUUCAAGGAAAAAACAAGCAAUUAAAAAAAUAGCAUUGCCACUGGGAUUGUAUGCACUAGUAGAUCAAUGUCAACUUCAUCAGGGCAACUUUGUAAUAGUACACGAAUAUGCUGUUGCCUUAACAGUAAUUCAUGUACCCGUGUGUGUGUCAACUGCGUCAAAGGCUGCGAUGCUGGAGUAGACAUCUCUGAUACAGUUCGGGUGGCCGGACUCCUACAUGCUUCUUUAUGUAACAUUGAAGCAACAUAAACAAAUUAUUUAAUAAUGACAUCAUAACCAUAUUUAAAGGUUUGCAUAACUGUGUGCAGUCACAUAAAAACCAGUAAACUGACUAACUUGCUAAAUGGUGAUGAAUAUCAUCUGAUUUUUUGGAUGCUUGCUGCACAUCAUAACCAUCUUCAUUCUCAU